GAUGAACGCUGGCGGCGUGCUUAACACAUGCAAGUCGAACGGAAAGGCUCAAGCUUGCUUGGGUACUCGAGUGGCGAACGGGUGAGUAACACGUGGGUGAUCUGCCCUGCACUUCGGGAUAAGCUUGGGAAACUGGGUCUAAUAACGGAUAGGACCACACCUUGGAAGGUGUGGUGGAAAGUUUUUCGGUGUGGGAUGAGCUCGCGGCCAGUCAGCUUGUUGGCGGGGUAAUGGCCUACCAAGGCGUCGACGGGUAGCCGGCCUGAGAGGGUGUACGGCCACAUUGGGACGGAGAUACGGCCCAGACUCCUACGGGAGGCAGCAGUGGGGAAUAGUGCACAAUGGGCGCAAGCCUGAUGCAGCGACGCCGCGUGGGGGAUGACGGCCUUCGGGUUGUAAACUCCUUUCGCUAGGGAAGAAGCGCAAGUGACGGUACCUGGAGAAGAAGCACCGGCUAACUACGUG
rnacentral:rRNA from 1 species